rnacentral:rRNA from 1 species
GGUAGUAGUUAAGCGAUGGUGUGACACAGGAAGGUAGCCUCCGCGUGGCGAUGGUUGUCCACGUUUAAGCAUGUAGGGCGAGCUGUAGGCAAAUCCGCAGUUCUUUCUUUGAUGAUGAGCCUGAGAUGUGAUGAUGACCGCAUUGGCGGGAAGUGGGUGAUCCUAUGCUGUCGAGAAAAAAGCAUCUAGCGAGGUUCGAGCCGCCCGUACCCUAAACCGACUCAGGUGGUCAGGUAGAGAAUACUAAGGCGAUCGAGUGAAUCGUGGUUAAGGAACUCGGCAAAAAAAUGCCCCCGUAACUUCGGGAGAAGGGGGGCCUGAGGCGUGACCUGGACUUGCUCCGGUGAGCGUUUGAGGGCCGCAGAGACCAGGGAGAAGCGACUGUUUACUAAAAAAAACACAGGUCCGUGCGAAGUCGCAAGACGAUGUAUACGGACUGACGCCUGCCCGGUGCUGGAACGUUAAGGGGACCGGUUAGCUCGUAAGGGCGAAGCUGAGAACUUAAGCGCCAGUAAACGGCGGUGGUAACUAUAACCAUCCUAAGGUAGCGAAAUUCCUUGUCGGGUAAGUUCCGACCUGCACGAAUGGCGUAACGACUUCUCCGCUGUCUCAACCGCGAACUCGGCGAAAUUGCACUACGAGUAAAGAUGCUCGUUACGCGCAGCAGGACGGAAAGACCCCGGGACCUUUACUAUAGCUUGGUAUUGGUGUUCGGUACGGCUUGUGUAGGAUAGGUGGGAGACUGUGAAGCCGGCACGCUAGUGUUGGUGGAGUCGACGUUGAAAUACCACUCUGGUCGUUCUGGAUGUCUAACUUUGGUCCGUGAUCCGGAUCAGGGACAGUGCCUGGUGGGUAGUUUAACUGGGGCGGUUGCCUCCUAAAGAGUAACGGAGGCGCCCAAAGGUUCCCUCAGCCUGGUUGGCAAUCAGGUGUCGAGUGUAAGUGCACAAGGGAGCUUGACUGUGAGACCGACAGGUCGAGCAGGGACGAAAGUCGGGACUAGUGAUCCGGCAGUGGCUUGUGGAAGCGCUGUCGCUCAACGGAUAAAAAAGGUACCCCGGGGAUAACAGGCUGAUCUUGCCCAAGAGUCCAUAUCGACGGCAUGGUUUGGCACCUCGAUGUCGGCUCGUCGCAUCCUGGGGCUGGAGUAGGUCCCAAGGGUUGGGCUGUUCGCCCAUUAAAGCGGUACGCGAGCUGGGUUUAGAACGUCGUGAGACAGUUCGGUCCCUAUCCGCUGCGCGCGUUGGAAACUUGAGAAGGGCUGUCCCUAGUACGAGAGGACCGGGACGGACGAACCUCUGGUGUGCCAGUUGUCCUGCCAAGGGCACCGCUGGUUAGCUACGUUCGGAAGGGAUAACCGCUGAAGGCAUCUAAGCGGGAAGCUCGCUUCAAGAUGAGGUUUCCAUGCACCCUCGAGGUGUGAGAGGCUCCCAGCUAGACUACUGUUGAUAGGCCGGAUGUGGAAGCAAGGACUGAAGACUUGUGAAGCUGACCGGUACUAAUAUGCCGAUGACUUACUCAC